rnacentral:rRNA from 1 species
AACGAACGCUGGCGGCAUGCCUAACACAUGCAAGUCGAACGAGACCUUCGGGUCUAGUGGCGCACGGGUGCGUAACGCAUGGGAACCUGCCCUUAGGUUCGGAAUAACUCCCCGAAAGGGGUGCUAAUACCGGAUAAUGUCUUCGGACCAAAGAUUUAUCGCCUUUGGAUGGACCCGCGUUGGAUUAGCUAGUUGGUAGGGUAAAAGCCUACCAAGGCGACGAUCCAUAGCUGGUCUGAGAGGAUGAUCAGCCACACUGGGACUGAGACACGGCCCAGACUCCUACGGGAGGCAGCAGUGGGGAAUAUUGGACAAUGGGCGAAAGCCUGAUCCAGCAAUGCCGCGUGAGUGAUGAAGGCCUUAGGGUUGUAAAGCUCUUUUACCCGGGAUGAUAAUGACAGUACCGGGGGAAUAAGCUCCGGCUAACUCCGUG